GAACAAAUCAAUAAAUUAAACAGUAAUACGUCACCAGGGCCAGAUGGUACUUACCCAAGGGUUCUGAAGGAACUCCAAUAUGAAAAUGCAGAACUACUAACUAUGAUAGGUAAUCUAUCACUUAAAUAAGCUUCUGUACCAGAUCACUGGCGGAUAGCUAAUGUAUUGCUGUGUGUGUGUGU